UACGGAGGGUGCGAGCGUUACUCGGAAUUACUGGGCGUAAAGGGCGCGUAGGCGGCCGUGCAAGUCUGGUGUGAAAGCCCAGGGCUUAACCCUGGAAGGGCACUGGAAACUGUGCGGCUUGAGUGCCGGAGAGGAGGGGGGAAUUCCCGGUGUAGCGGUGAAAUGCGUAGAUAUCGGGAGGAAUACCGGUGGCGAAGGCGCCCCUCUGGACGGUAACUGACGCUGAGGCGCGAAAGCGUGGGGAGCAAACAGG
rnacentral:rRNA from 1 species